ensembl:lncRNA
GGGGCUUCGGGGGCAUAUCUGUUUGGAUUUUAGGUAGUCAGUCUCUAUUGCUCAUAGAGCGAAACCUUGGGGUACCUUUACAGUUGGAUCACAGAUUGUCCUGAAUUGAAAUGAUUCUUUCUUUAAAUAAUGAAACCUCCCCUCCCCCCCCCAAAAAGCCCAUAUAUUCUUGCUUGCUAUGCGCAUUUCCUGGGGGCUGAGGGUGGAGAAGUGUCACCAGAUUGAAAACAUUUCUUAUGGUGAACAACACUGAGGAGAAAGCAGCCUGGAGGAGCACAUGAAAACAUUGCACUGCAUUGAAACACUGCACUGAAAAAUAGCUCGCGCAGCUUCUCUUAGAAAAUCUGAUUCACUCUUUGGAUGUUUUCCUCUGGCUCAGCAUCUCCUCACAUCUGGCAGGUUCUCUCACCCAGCCUUCUCCCCAGGACCCUUCUGCUUUUGUGAAACGGGGCCAUAAAAACCUCAGCAACCCUCCACCCUCUCCAUUUUGAGCCACUUUAGGAUUGCCUGGUGCCACACAGCUGGCCAAUGACAGACUGCACGGCUGAGAGCGGAUGUCCUCUCCUCUCUGCACAUCUGGAAGCUCCUCUUCUUUGUGCCAUCAUGAGACAGAUACUCAUCGCUACCCAGGCCCAUGGGCUGAGAAGAAUGAGAUGAAAAUGCAAUCUGCCAGCACCAACAGGACUGACAGGUUAAGCCAAUGGAGAAAUGUGAAGAGUGAUGGCAGCAGUCACGCCAAGUGGGCCAAAAGCCAAUGAAUGUGUUGAGGAGUGGGUGUUUCCCAGCAGCUGCCUCCCUUCACGCAGGCAAGAAAAUUGUUUGAAUUACCUGCAUCUUCCUCAGGCAGCUAAAAAGUGCCCUUAUGUUUGCUGGAGAUUUAUCUACCUAUUUAUUACUACCAGUUAUACAAAUCAUUCUUCCAUUAACAAGAGCCCAUGCUUAUUUCUAGGCCAUUUUUCACCAUAUUGAAAUUGACAAGCCAGCACCAACAGCAAGGAUUACAGUGGGCUGCAUGUGUGCAAAUCAAGUAAAAAAGAGGGGCAGGUUUUCUCCUUCCUACUGGCAGCCUCCUUAAAUUCCUCUUUCCCUCUCGUCUGGGAAAAAAGCUAUGACUGUGCAUCCCCAACACUGUUCCAGCAGAACAUCCCUGGAAUUGGCUCUGGACUAUUCUCUCUGCUGCAGGCAGAGUCGAGUUAACUGGUAGAAAAGAAGACUUAAAUCGUUGAGCUCUUGCUAUGCACGAUUUGUGUAUCAUAAAGAGAUCUACAGUCUUCAGGGCCAUCACAAAGUUCCAAGACAUCUUCUGCACCUUCUCUUGGCAUCAGCAGCAGAGGCAUGCACUUGUCCAGGAGGAAGAAGACAACACUGAAUAAGGUCCCGCUCUGCAAAUGAAGGUCUUGCUGUCUCUGAUGGUGUUUCUUCACUCCACUGUCCAGUUAACAUCUCAUCCAUACAGAGAAGCAGCUUUGCUGUCUUCUUGGAGUGCUUCCCAGCACGUUGGCUGCAAUUCUCUGCUCUGUUUUCAGUCCCUUGUUUUGAACGAUGAUGUGCCCCCCGGUCUUCAUCAGAUAUAACUUGUCGCCCUAUCUGAUGGUGGUCUGAACAACAUGAUGCUUUCUCUCACUGGAGUUAAAAGACUUUAACUUGGAUCAAUUCCACUCACUGUCCCAUGACCGAUACAAACAGGGAAUGCAUUUCCUUUCCUGAUUUGUUAGGCUCCUGCUGUAUGUCCAGCUCAUUCACCCUCCUGACAUUUAAUUGAGUUUCCUCAUUGCACGCCACAAAUGACAGAAGGAAUGCAUCCAAAAAUACAUCUACUGAUCCCGAGGUUUCAGUGUGCACAGAAGCAAGGAGAAGGCAUUUCUCCUUCCCUACCUUCUGUUGUGCAAGCAGGUGAAGAAAGUACACGCAGCACGAUUCUGAUAUCCCCACUGCUGUCAUGCUGGAAGGAAGUAAUGGAUUAAAAGUGUUCUUGUUUCUUUGUUUUCGGUUCUUUGCUCCCUCACCAGACUCACCUGCAGCUGGCAAUGAGCUGAAAGCAGACCUGCUUGGGCAACCUCAACGAGAUUUGCCCUGCAAACAAGUCUCAAGACCAAUUCCCACCUCUUUCACUAAGUUCUGCAGGAAUUCUCCCAUUGUAACGAGCCUUUGACCUAACCUCCAUUUCUUCUAAUACUGCCUGACAUCUUCCCAUCAUAUGUUAACAGUGUGUGUCUUCAGUGAAAGGCAAACUGACUCUGAUGCUCUGGGCCUAAAGAAAAGCAACAUGGAGAAAGAAAGAAAGAGAAAUCUCGACCUCGCUGGUCCUUCCCAGCAAUCUGUUGCUCCAGCAACUGAAAAAUCAAACAAUGAUGUCAAGAAGAUGCAGCCAGCCACGCUAAACCCGAUGUCCAGUUGCUGGAGCAACUUGUUGUUAAAGCAAUUAGCCCAUGCUCAUUACUGGACGUAUGGGGAUACAUCCAAGCGCUCACCGAGACGGGAGGCACAGCACACAACGUGGCACAAACGGGUUCUCCCAGGUCUUGGGCUCCAUUGUAAAACGUAGCAUCAAACCUUCACUACAUCGGGCCAUCAGCAGAUGCCAGGCAGAACACACCUCCUCCCUGGGAAGGGGGAACCUCAGAAAAUCUGGCAAGAAAAGCAUCCAAGCAGCGAGCAAAGAGCCAACGGUGGCAAACAGGCUGUGAAAGCACUACCAGCGUGCACGGAGGAUGAGGACAAGCAGCCAAGGAUGUGUUUAUUCAUAUGGGAAAGGCAACCUCUAAACGAUACGCAAAUACGGCUCAGUGCAUUUAUUUGCAAUUAAAGCACGUGCAUACAUCUCCAUGAAGAUGAGGUGCACCCUACUGAUUAGCGAGCCCGUUGUCAGCAGUGCCUCGUCAGGAAGAAAUGCACAGAAUUGCAGCGAGGGAGCACUGGAGCAUCAAGACGAAUAUUCCAUAAGAAAAUUCAGCAGGAGGCUGCCCAGCCAGCAACAGAGAACAGGACCCCCUGGAUGCUCCAGCAGGGAUGCAGGAUGCUCGGGCACAGCAGCCCAACACCAUCGCUCCAUUAAACAAAGAAUGCUGUCUCGAAAGCACUUUAAUCCAGUUAAGUUCAAGCCCUCCGUUUUACAGUUUGACGGUAAUGCUAUAUUUUUAUUCAGUGCAGGAUCAGAGGUCUGAUGAAACCUCAUGUUGCCAACAUGAAAGUGAAAGGAGCUUUAGCUAAUCCCAAUGAAAACCAAGUCCACUUCUUUCUCCCCACACCCCUCCUGAAAAGAAAUAAAAUGAAAACCCCACAUUUGACUCUCUUGGAAGGGAAAAUUCCCUGC